rnacentral:ncRNA from 1 species
GCACAGUACCUUAUGUAGUCCUUACUGCAGGCUCGUACCGAUACGCGAGGAUGAAAUUCAAUCAGGGAGGAUGAAAUUAUCGAGCUACGUUCGUGAUUUUCGCACUCCCGAGGCGUCACGUUUCCAAUCAGUGAAUGAAGACGCGCUCUGAACACAAAUGCUGGGACCCGAAAGAUGGUGAACUAUGCCUGGUCAGGUCGAAGUCAGCGGAAACCAUGAUGGAGGAUCGUAGCAAUUCUGACGUGCAAAUCGAUCGUCGGAACUGGGUAUAGGGGCGAAAGACUAAUUGGUUCCGUCCGAAGUUUCCCUCAGGAUAGCUGGCGUCGAUAUAAAAUUUUAAAACAGUCUCAUCCGGUAAAGCGAAUGAUUGGGGCCGAAACGACCUCACCUAUUCUCAAACUUUAAAUGGGUGAGAACUCCGGCUUACUCGAACGAUGAAGCCGGAGAUCUGAUGACGGUGCCAAGUGGGCCAAUUUUGGUAAGCAGAAUUAGCGCUGUGGGAUGAACCAAACGUCAACGCCUCAUUACCCACAGUCGAAUGGUAAAAGUGAAAGAACAGUACAGAGUGUGAAAAAUCUGCUUAAAAAAUGUGUAGAU